GAGUUUGAUCCUGGCUCAGAUUGAACGCUGGCGGCAUGCCUUACACAUGCAAGUCGAACGGCAGCAUGAUCUAGCUUGCUAGAUUGAUGGCGAGUGGCGAACGGGUGAGUAAUACAUCGGAACGUGCCCUGUAGUGGGGGAUAACUAGUCGAAAGAUUAGCUAAUACCGCAUACGACCUGAGGGUGAAAGUGGGGGACCGCAAGGCCUCAUGCUAUAGGAGCGGCCGAUGUCUGAUUAGCUAGUUGGUGGGGUAAAGGCCCACCAAGGCGACGAUCAGUAGCUGGUCUGAGAGGACGAUCAGCCACACUGGGACUGAGACACGGCCCAGACUCCUACGGGAGGCAGCAGUGGGGAAUUUUGGACAAUGGGCGAAAGCCUGAUCCAGCAAUGCCGCGUGUGUGAAGAAGGCCUGGUU
rnacentral:rRNA from 1 species